GAUGAACGCUGGCGGCGUGCCUAAUACAUGCAAGUCGAGCGAACAGACGAGGAGCUUGCUCCUCUGACGUUAGCGGCGGACGGGUGAGUAACACGUGGAUAACCUACCUAUAAGACUGGGAUAACUUCGGGAAACCGGAGCUAAUACCGGAUAAUAUAUUGAACCGCAUGGUUCAAUAGUGAAAGACGGUUUUGCUGUCACUUAUAGAUGGAUCCGCGCCGCAUUAGCUAGUUGGUAAGGUAACGGCUUACCAAGGCAACGAUGCGUAGCCGACCUGAGAGGGUGAUCGGCCACACUGGAACUGAGACACGGUCCAGACUCCUACGGGAGGCAGCAGUAGGGAAUCUUCCGCAAUGGGCGAAAGACUGAAGGAGAAACGCCGCGUGAGUGAUGAAGGUCUUCGGAUCGUAAAACUCUGUUAUUAGGGAAGAAAAAAUGUGUAAGUAACUAUGCACGUCUUGACGGUACCUAAUCAGAAAGCCACGGCUAACUACGUG
rnacentral:rRNA from 1 species